rnacentral:misc_RNA from 1 species
GUUUUUCCAUUUUUCUCCUUGAUCCCAAGUUAAUAAGUGCUCCCAAGAAGCCCAUGCAUACUCAUAUAAACAACAAAACCCCACACCCAGCAUAGCACAAUGAUUCUCUUGUAUUACCUCAUUAAAGCAAUUGCAAAUUCUGCAAAUCUUUAUGCCUUCCUUCUUGUUCUUAUCUUAAACCUUUCUUCUUUACCAUCUUUAACAUGGGCUGCCACUGAUGUUUCAGUUUAUGAAUCCUUCCUCCAAUGCCUGCAAAACAACACAAACCCACAAGACAACAUCUCAGAGAUUGUCUAUUACCAGACAAACGCAUCUUACGCUUCAGUUCUUGAAGCCUACAUUCGAAACGCCCGCUUGAUUAACUCCACAACCGCAAAACCAAAACCACUAAUCAUUUUAACCCCUAAACAGAUUUCCCAUGUCCAAGCCUCUGUUAUCUGCUCCAAAAAGGUUGGUUACCAACUCAAAAUCCGCAGUGGCGGCCAUGACUAUGAAGGGAUUUCUUAUAUCUCAGACCAUCCCUUUUUCCUUCUUGAUAUGUUUAAUCUUCGAUCCAUGGAAGUAGAUGUUAAAAAUGAAACUGCUUGGGUUCAGAGUGGUGCUACUCUUGGUGAACUUUAUUAUAAAAUCAGGAAGAAGAGCAAAGUUCAUGGUUUCCCUGCUGGGGUUUGUUUUACAAUUGGCGUUGGUGGGCAUUUUAGUGGGGGUGGUUAUGGGAACAUGUUGAGGAAAUAUGGGCUGGCGGUGGAUAACGUGCUUGAUGCUCAAAUAGUUGAUGUGAAUGGAAAGCUUUUGGAUAGAAAGUCAAUGGGUGAGGAUCUUUUUUGGGCAAUUCGAGGGGGUGGAGGGGCAAGUUUUGGAGUAAUAAUCUCUUACAAGAUCAAGCUUGUUCUUGUUCCUGAGAUUGUUACUGUUUUCAAAGUUGAAAGAUACAUUGAAGAGGAUGCUACUGAUGUUGCCCAUAAAUGGCAAUUUGUUGCUCCGAAAACAGAUAAUGAUCUCUUCAUGAGGAUGCUUUUGCAGCCAGUAACCUCCAAGACAAAGAAAAAGGAGAAGACCAUUAGAGUAUCGAUUUAUGCUUUUUAUUUAGGAAACGCUGAUGCUCUUGUGUCUUUAUUGGGCAAGGAAUUCCCUGAAUUGGGGUUGAAGAAGGAGAAUUGCAACGAGACGAGUUGGAUUCAGUCAGUUGUCUGGUGGGCUAAUUCCAUCAAUAUAACAUCCCCUAAAGAUCUGCUUGAUAGAAAUCUUAACUCGGCCAAUUUCUUGAAGAGGAAAUCAGAUUAUGUGCAGACACCAAUAUCAAAAGAUGGGUUGAAUUGGAUUUUUCAGAGAAUGAUUGAAUUGGGAAAAACUGGGUUAGUUUUCAAUGCUUAUGGUGGAAGAAUGAAUGAAAUUCCUGCCACAGAUGCUCCAUUUCCACAUCGGGCUGGGAAUUUGUUCAAGAUCCAGUAUUCAGUAAAUUGGCAACAAGCAGGAAGCACAGCAGAGAACGAAUACUUAACUCAGAUAAGGAAGCUUUACAGCUAUAUGACCCCAUUUGUGUCCAAAAACCCAAGAAGUGCAUUCUUGAACUACAGGGAUCUUGACAUUGGUGUGAUGGAAUCUGGUAAAAACAGCUACGAAGAGGGUAGUGUUUAUGGGUUCAAGUACUUCAAAGGAAACUUCGAUAGAUUGGUGAAAGUGAAGACUGCAGUUGAUCCAGAGAAUUUCUUCAGGAAUGAGCAGAGCAUCCCUACUCUUCCAAGAGACUACUCAGGCGUAGACGUGAACAGGCAUUCAACGUCCGUCGUUAAGCUAAUAGGAGUAAUGAUAUAUUUACUCAGCUUUUCUUGAAGGAUUUCAUGGUGAUGAAUUUUUGUCCUGUAAGGACUCCAAAAGGCUUAUACAUGAAAGCAGGUUUUGUCCUUUUUUAUUUUUUUUGGAAAAAACACAAACUGCAAAGAAACAAGCUUAAACUAAGCAGCUUCUGGGAAAAGUCACACCGCAGAUAUCCUGGAGAAGAUGGCUGGACAAACCAUGCGGAGGUUCGAAGUUUGCCUUUGUAGAAGGAAAGUAGGUUUUGUCUUUUAUAAUUUCCAUGGGAAAAAAGAAGAUAAUUUUAAGGAGUUGCUAUUUGUAGAUGGGAAAAUAUUCAGCAUAAAAAAGAAAUGGAAAAUUUGCAUUAUAAUUAAA